rnacentral:snRNA from 1 species
UCCCUUGAGAAGGAUGGAAGAGGCCCUUGGGCCUGACAACACGCAUAUGGUUAGGAAACAUGGUUCAAACUCAUUUCAUUA